CCCAAUAAUUGAAGCUUCUUUUCUAAGAAAAGUCGCAACAAAUCAUCUCUCUUUAUUAACAACUUCUCCUCACCAUUCAACUCCGAUAAGAAAACAACCUCAUUAGAACAAAGAAGACGAUCAUUCUAAAGAAAGAGAGAUGGGUUGUAUUCACUUCGAGUCAUCAAAAUAUCAAUGGACACGCUCUGUCCAUGACCAAGAAACAUCCAACACAGCUUCACCACAGCACGAGCACGGAGGGAUCCAGGAAGCUUGGGCGGAGAUCGAGACACGUGGAGGUGGUGGUCAUUUCGCCGGAGAGAAUAGGAAGAACAAGCUUGAGAAGAGGAAGAGCCAAGUGUUGCUUGAGGGCUACGUUGAAGCUUCUGCUGCUGAUGAUUAUCAAGAAGAUCUUACGAGAGGUAAGAGUUUGACGGAUGAUGAUCUCGAGGAGCUUAAAGGCUGUUUAGAUCUAGGUUUUGGGUUCAGCUACGACGAGAUCCCUGAGCUUUGCAACACUUUGCCUGCUUUAGAGCUUUGUUACUCCAUGAGCCAGAAGUUCUUGGAUGAUCAACAAAAGUCGUCGGACACGUGUCAGACUGAAGAAGAUUCGCCGCCGCCACCGUCCACGACCGGUCCAGUGGCAAACUGGAAGAUCUCUAGCCCUGGUGAUAAUCCAGAUGAUGUAAAAGCUAGACUCAAAUACUGGGCACAAGCCGUAGCUUGCACUGUCCGGUUGUGUAGCUGAACAGCUAUCAUCAUCUUGUCUGAACAUAUUGGGUGAACCAGAAACAUUCUUCUGAAGACCUUUUUUUGCAUGAAUGAAGUCUCUGCCACUGUUAGCUGAAGAAUAGACCUGCAUUGUGUGUCCAUGGAGAAACUGUGAUGAGACUGAGAGAGACAAAGAAACAACUGUGUUUUUGAAGUCCUCUGAUUUGUUGUGGCUGAGGUAACUUGAUCAUCUAACUGUCAGAGUUUUGAUUAACAAGUUAAUCUUCUGUUUCAUGAUCUUGUUUUUGAAUCAUUGGUGAUUAGGCUUAGAUGAUGGCAAAACUCGUGACUUUGCUUCAGUUACAAGAUGUACUUACUUGUGAUUCUUUUUAUCUUUCCCGUUUGUGGGAAAAGAAUCAGAAACUUUGUGGUCAUAAUUGUGAACACGCUCAACGUGUCUUGUACGAUAGGGCAGACAUGAUCGUACUUUCACGUGUUCUGUUACGUAUCCAACUUUUCUAAUAACGGCGAAUAUGAUUUCUUUCGAGUG